GACCACUCGGGCGGCGGGGGGGCGGGCCUCAGAAGCGCCCAGCGAUCCCAGGGGCGGGCCCGGCUUGGCCCCGCCCCCUCCCUUUUGGACGGCUGGACGCGCGAGACGUGGCAGCGCUGGGGCUCCGAGGGCGGGGCGGAGUCUGGAGUCUUCGCGGUGCACUUAGACGCCCCCCGAUCGCCGCUUUUAGUCCGACUGCUUUCGCAGGCGCUCGGGCAAAAUCGGGAGCGGUGACCGACGGCUAGUAAAGCUUGGGAAGAUCAAAUAGGACGAUUACAAUUUAUUAACGUGAAGGCAUCAGCCAUAUCUCAGAAAAGAACAACACAGCAAACCAGAGUGCUCUCCCUUGAAAGGCCUGCUUACCUUUUUGGUCCUCGGCUGCCAUCUGGGAACUUGGAUGUCAGCAAGGUUCCCUUCCCUCUCACUGA